GACGAACGCUGGCGGCGUGCCUAAUACAUGCAAGCAGAACGCUGAAGAGAGGAGCUUCCUCUUCUUGGAUGAGUUGCGAACGGGUGAGUAACGCGUAGGUAACCUGCCUUGUAGCGGGGGAUAACUAUUGGAAACGAUAGCUAAUACCGCAUAACAAUGGAUGACACAUGUCAUUUAUUUGAAAGGGGCAAUUGCUCCACUACAAGAUGGACCUGCGUUGUAUUAGCUAGUAGGUGAGGUAAUGGCUCACCUAGGCGACGAUACAUAGCCGACCUGAGAGGGUGAUCGGCCACACUGGGACUGAGACACGGCCCAGACUCCUACGGGAGGCAGCAGUAGGGAAUCUUCGGCAAUGGGGGCAACCCUGACCGAGCAACGCCGCGUGAGUGAAGAAGGUUUUCGGAUCGUAAAGCUCUGUUGUAAGUCAAGAACGGGUGUGAGAGUGGAAAGUUCACACUGUGACGGUAGCUUACCAGAAAGGGACGGCUAACUACGUG
rnacentral:rRNA from 1 species